UACGUAGGGUGCAAGCGUUGUCCGGAAUUAUUGGGCGUAAAGAGCGUGUAGGCGGCCCGAUUAGUCCGCUGUGAAAGUCCAGGGCUCAACCCUGGAAUGCCGGUGGAUACUGUCGGGCUAGAGUCCGGAAGGGGCGAGUGGAAUUCCUGGUGUAGCGGUGGAAUGCGCAGAUAUCAGGAAGAACACCGGUGGCGAAGGCGGCUCUCUGGGCCUUACCUGACGCUGAGGAGCGAAAGCGUGGGUAGCGAACAGG
rnacentral:rRNA from 1 species